CAAUAGCGUAUAUUAAAGUUGUUGCAGUUAAAAAGCUCGUAGUUGGAUGUCUGGCUCUGUGUUGCGGUCCACCGCAAGGUGAGCACUGCGAUGUGGGGUCUUCCUCUUGAAUGCUGCGUGUGCUCUUAGUUGAGUGUGCGUGGGGUUUGGGAUCUUUACUUUGAAAAAUUAGAGUGUUCAAAGCAGGCGAUUGCUUGAAUAUAUUAGCAUGGAAUAAUGGAAUAGGACUUGGGUUCUAUUUUGUUGGUUUCUAGGACCGAGGUAAUGAUUAAUAGGGGUAGUUGGGGGCAUUCGUAUUUAAUUGUCAGAGGUGAAAUUCUUGGAUUUAUGAAAGACGAACUUCUGCGAAAGCAUUUGCCAAGGAUGUUUUCAUUAAUCAAGAACGAAAGUUAGGGGAUCGAAGACGAUCAGAUACCAU
rnacentral:rRNA from 1 species